rnacentral:misc_RNA from 1 species
UCUCCGUAGGUGAACCUGCGGAAGGAUCAUUAAUGCGCCCCCGGACAUGAUCGGUCAGAAAUGGCCCGUUAUGCUUCGGCCAAUCGCCAUCCGUGUGUAGUGUAUAAUUGUUGCUUUGGUGGGCCGCCCCUUGGGCACCGGCUUCGGCUGGCCCGCGCCCGCCAGAGGACCCAAACCCUUGAUUUUAUACAGUAUCUUCUGAGUAAAUGAUUAAAUAAAUCAAAACUUUCAACAACGGAUCUCUUGGUUCUG